UGAGGAUCAUCUUUCUAGAUUUUGCCAAUAUGAAAGUUGCAGGGAAAGCAGAACUUGUAAGUGAUGCACUUGGAUAUUUAACUGAGGAGAUUUCCAAGCAAAGCGUUGAAGGUGGGCUGUGCGGGUAUUUGCAUGGUCUGUUGAUACGAG